UACGGGGGGAGCAAGCGUUGUUCGGAUUUACUGGGCGUAAAGGGCGCGUAGGCGGCCAGCACAAGUCAGUUGUGAAAUCUCCGGGCUUAACUCGGAAAGGUCAACUGAUACUGUGCGGCUAGAGUGCAGAAGGGGCAACUGGAAUUCUCGGUGUAGCGGUGAAAUGCGUAGAUAUCAUUUGGAACGCCAAUGGUGAAAACAGGUAGCUGGGGCUGUGCUGACACUGAGACACGAAAGCCAGGGGAGCAAACGGG
rnacentral:rRNA from 1 species